GUACCUUCAUUUAUUUAUCAAUAUGCAUUGCUUAUUAGUGUGAUACCAUUCUUUACCAAGUCUGUAGAUAACUAACCAAGAUAUGUGCGUUAUGAUAACGGCUAAUCUAGAAAAUUCGGUAAAUAAUUGUAAACAUGAUUAUAGUGAACGACAACAAAUUGUCACUUGUGGUACGUACGUGAUUUUCGUUUAGACUGUCUACUACACUCCUAAAAACCAUUAAUAUUUGCGAUUUAGUUUGUAAUUUUCGUCCAUUUGUAUUUCGUUUGCGUUGCCAAGCUUUUUGUAUAAAUGGAAACUACGCGUAAGUAUCUAUAGUUCUUUUGAUAAUUUAUUUGCUGGACACCUAAUUCGAAAUAAUUUUUAUUUUAUAAAAUAAACAUAGGUACCAAUAUAUUUAUUUUACUUUGAACUCAGUACUGUAUCAUGUGCAUGUUCGAAUAAUAUAUUGAUUAGUCAUUCUAUACUAGCCAUAAAUUUAAGUUUUUAAAACGUUUUGUAAGCUUGUAGUAUAGUUUUGUAGGAGAUGGAGCCCGGUAGAUUUACUGUACCUAGAUAAUUCUCACUAAAUGAUCAAAUUAUAAAUAUUGUAUAUAAUAAUGUUUAAAAUGCGUUUAAAUAGGUUUGAAUAACAUCAAUGAUAAUUCCAACUUUGUGCUGUUGAUUUUAAAUAUAAUUUUUUCAAUGCAAAUUCUUUUUAGAUUCUGUGCAAAGC